ACGAACGCUGGCGGCACGCUUAACACAUGCAAGUCGAACGAGAGAAGAGAAGCUUGCUUUUCUGAUCUAGUGGCGGACGGGUGAGUAACACGUGAGCAAUCUGCCUUUCAGAGGGGGAUACCGAUUGGAAACGAUCGUUAAUACCGCAUAACAUAAUUGAACCGCAUGAUUUGAUUAUCAAAGAUUUAUCGCUGAAAGAUGAGCUCGCGUCUGAUUAGCUAGUUGGUAAGGUAACGGCUUACCAAGGCGACGAUCAGUAGCCGGACUGAGAGGUUGAUCGGCCACAUUGGGACUGGGACACGGCCCAGACUCCUACGGGAGGCAGCAGUGGGGAAUAUUGCACAAUGGAGGAAACUCUGAUGCAGCGAUGCCGCGUGAGGGAAGAAGGUUUUAGGAUUGUAAACCUCUGUCUUUGGGGACGAAAAAUGACGGUACCCAAGGAGGAAGCUCCGGCUAACUACGUGCCAGCAGCCGCGGUAAUACGUAGGGAGCGAGCGUUGUCCGGAAUUACUGGGUGUAAAGGGAGCGUAGGCGGGAUCGCAAGUCAGAUGUGAAAACUAUGGGCUUAACCCAUAAACUGCAUUUGAAACUGUGGUUCUUGAGUGAAGUAGAGGUAAGCGGAAUUCCUAGUGUAGCGGUGAAAUGCGUAGAUAUUAGGAGGAACAUCAGUGGCGAAGGCGGCUUACUGGGCUUUAACUGACGCUGAGGCUCGAAAGCGUGGGGAGCAAACAGGAGUAGCUAACCUGGUAGUCCAAGCCGUACAAGAUGAUUACUAGGUGUGGGGGGACUGACCCCUUCCGUGCCGCAGCAAACGCAAUAAGUAUUCCACCUGGGGAGUACGUUCGCAAGAAUGAAACUCAAAGGAAUUGACGGGGACCCGCACAAGCGGUGGAGCAUGUGGUUUAAUUCGAAGCAACGCGAAGAACCUUACCAGGUCUUGACAUCGUAUGCAUAGCUCAGAGAUGAGUGAAAUCUCUUCGGAGACAUAUAGACAGGUGGUGCAUGGUUGUCGUCAGCUCGUGUCGUGAGAUGUUGGGUUAAGUCCCGCAACGAGCGCAACCCUUACUGUUAGUUGCUACGCAAGAGCACUCUAGCAGGACUGCCGUUGACAAAACGGAGGAAGGUGGGGAUGACGUCAAAUCAUCAUGCCCCUUAUGACCUGGGCCUCACACGUACUACAAUGGCUGUCAACAGAGGGAAGCAAAGCCGCGAGGUGGAGCGAACCCCUAAAAGCAGUCUUAGUUCGGAUUGUAGGCUGCAACCCGCCUACAUGAAGUCGGAAUUGCUAGUAAUCGCAGAUCAGCAUGCUGCGGUGAAUACGUUCCCGGGCCUUGUACACACCGCCCGUCACGCCAUGGGAGUCGGUAACACCCGAAGCCUGUAGUCUAACCGCAAGGAGGACGCAGUCGAAGGUGGGAUUGAUGACUGGGGUG
rnacentral:rRNA from 1 species